rnacentral:rRNA from 1 species
AUGGCGGCAGCCUGUGGAUUGACGGAUCGGUCGGGUGACAGUGACGCCGGUAAUGACGUUAGUGAAGUUAUUAUCAGGGAGUGAAUCCGAAAAGAAAUCGAUACGGUCCACCUCACAAUCCAUAUUGGAUUGUCAAAUUUAUUAAACAAAAAAAGAGUAGUUCAAGAAUUAGGAAAAGAUAUACAAAAGGAAAUUAACUUUGUAAACCAGAGACUUAAUAUUUCUAUCGAAAAAGUUAAAGAACCUUAUCAGCCUAACAUUCGUGCGGAAUAUAUAGCUUUCCAAUUAACAAGAUAG